CAGCAGCCGCGGUAAUACAGAGGGUGCGAGCGUUAAUCGGAUUUACUGGGCGUAAAGCGUGCGUAGGCGGCUUUUUAAGUCGGAUGUGAAAUCCCUGAGCUUAACUUAGGAAUUGCAUUCGAUACUGGGAAGCUAGAGUAUGGGAGAGGAUGGUAGAAUUCCAGGUGUAGCGGUGAAAUGCGUAGAGAUCUGGAGGAAUACCGAUGGCGUAGGCAGCCAUCUGGCCUAAUACUGACGCUGAGGUACGAAAGCAUGGGGAGCAAACAGGAUUAGAUACCCCCGUAGUCCCUGUCUCUUAUAC
rnacentral:rRNA from 1 species